rnacentral:rRNA from 1 species
AGUGAACGCUGGCGGUAGGCCUAACACAUGCAAGUCGAACGGCAGCACAGUAAGAGCUUGCUCUUACGGGUGGCGAGUGGCGGACGGGUGAGGAAUACAUCGGAAUCUACUUUUUCGUGGGGGAUAACGUAGGGAAACUUACGCUAAUACCGCAUACGACCUACGGGUGAAAGCAGGGGAUCUUCGGACCUUGCGCGAUUGAAUGAGCCGAUGUCGGAUUAGCUAGUUGGCGGGGUAAAGGCCCACCAAGGCGACGAUCCGUAGCUGGUCUGAGAGGAUGAUCAGCCACACUGGAACUGAGCCACGGUCCAGACUCCUACGGGAGGCAGCAGUGGGGAAUAUUGGACAAGGGGCGCAAGCCUAAUCCAACCAUACCGCGUGGUUGAAGAAGGCCUUCGGGUUGUAAAGCCCUUUUGUUGGGAAAGAAAAGCAGCAGGUUAAUACCCCGCUGUUCUGACGGUACCCAAAGAAUAAGCACCGGCUAACUUCGUG